GCAUAAUAACUCAUAAAUUUGUGAUUCAUGAGUUAGGGACAGACAUGCAAUCAUACACAUGCUAUGAGGUGAACUGAAGUGCCAUCAUCUUCAAUAGGAAUACCAACAGUUUCAAUCAAUCCACUGUCUUCCAACUUUAACAACAACUGCAAAACCAAAUGUCUGGCACAAAAAUGUAAGAUAUCAAGGAAACAUCAAUAAUUCACCACUUAAAAAAAGUCUGGAUCCUCUGCUCUGGACAAAGAUUUUAAGUUUUCAAAUUUUUUUCAUUCCCUAACCAAUCAAACUUCAUAAAAUAAUAUUAAAAUAUCAAACUUUAUCCCUCUCUAAUGUCUGAGACAAAUGUUACAUAAAUAUUGUGACAUUUAUUCAAAAAUAAAUCAAAAGUUCAAAUUUUAAAAUGAAAAUUAAUUUAAUUUUCAAAAUUAAAGAAGAAAAAGAAAAACAGAUCCAAAGCAAUGUGGAUAAGGAUGAAUGAUCUCCAACCUCUUUCCUCCUCCUUCAACCACCACCGUUAUUCUCAGCCACAUACACUAUGUCAUGGCAAAGGAUCUCCACUACAUGCAGCUGCUUGCCACCAUUAAUGGCACUAUCAACCGCACAAAGCUCAAGUCUUUCUCCGUGUUCUUGUGGAAUAUUGUUGCUCUUGCAACUUCAAUAGCCAAAAAUGGCAAAAGAGUCAUCCCAAAAUGGGGCCAUGACAAAUUUGAGUCAUCGACGAGGGUUUCUUUACUAAUUUAUUGGUUAUGUUUUUUCAACAGUGGCAUUGUCGUCCAUGGAUUGAAGGAGGAGGAGAGAGAUUGGGGGUCCUCCUUCCUUAUCUACAUUGUU
rnacentral:lncRNA from 1 species